CGGUAUCUGGCUCAGGAUGAACGCUAGCGGCAGGCCUAACACAUGCAAGUCGAGGGGCAGCAGGGCGUAGCAAUACGCUGCUGGCGACCGGCGCACGGGUGCGUAACGCGUAUGCAACCUACCCUAACAGGGGGAUAACGGAGAGAAAUUUCCACUAAUACCCGUAUUGAUGCGGAUUCGCAUGUUCCGCGUCGAAAGCCUAAUGGUGGUUAGGGAUGGGCAUGCGUGGCAUUAGGUAGUUGGCGGGCAACGGCCCACCAAGCCCACGAUGCCUAGGGGAGGCUGAGAGGCUAAUCCCCACCACUGGUACUGAGACACGGACCAGACUCCUACGGGAGGCAGCAGUGAGGAAUAUUGGUCAAUGGAGGGGAACUCUGAACCAGCCAUGCCGCGUGAGGGAGGGAAAGGCCCUAUGGGUUGUAAACCUCUUUUGCCUGGGGGCAAUAAGGCGCAUGCGUGCGUUGAUGAGAGUACCAGGCGAAUAAGCAUCGGCUAACUCCGUGCCAGCCGCGGC
rnacentral:rRNA from 1 species